rnacentral:rRNA from 1 species
UACGGAGGGUGCAAGCGUUAAUCGGAAUUACUGGGCGUAAAGCGUGCGUAGACGGCUAUCUAAGUUGGGUGUGAAAGCCCCGGGCUCAACCUGGGAAUUGCAUUCGAGACUGAAUAGCUAGGGUACGGUAGAGGGAAGUGGAAUUUCCGGUGUAGCGGUGAAAUGCGUAGAUAUCGGAAGGAACAUCAGUGGCGAAAGCGACUUCCUGGACCAGUACCGACGUUCAGGCACGAAAGCGUGGGGAGCAAACAGG